GCACUCUGAAGGAACUGCCGGUGACAAGCCGGAGGAAGGUGGGGAUGACGUCAAGUCCUCAUGGCCCUUACGGGCUGGGCUACACACGUGCUACAAUGGUGGUGACAAUGGGUCGCGAGGUCGCGAGGCCAAGCUAAUCUCAAAAAGCCAUCUCAGUUCGGAUUGUACUCUGCAACUCGAGUACAUGAAGUUGGAAUCGCUAGUAAU
rnacentral:rRNA from 1 species